CUUUUAGUUACAUUUAAAAACUACUUCGAGUUUUCUUUCUUGAUUUUUGGAAACACUUUGAAGUCUAAACUUUGAUACAGAAAUAGUUUACAAAAUGGGAACGAUUUAAAAGUUUGGACCAUGACAAAUUAAAAUAACAUACCCUUCCUUAAUGUGAAUAAAAAAAACUAUAUUUCCUGAAAAAGUCGACGUUUAAAUUCUAGCGGAGUUAUGUACUAAAGACUUUGGAGUAAAGUUGUAGGAAGAAGAAGAAGGAAGAUCACAAGCCGAAUCGAUCAAGCCAUUUCCGAACACCAGAAUGUUUUAGUUUGGCAUGUAGACUCCUGCCAAUUAAGUUGUUUAAUUUCAGUAUGUAAAACGUUAAGAAAUCGAUGUAGUUGUUUUCAGCUCCAAAAACGCGUUGGAUUCUUUAACCGCAAAGGCUUAAUAACGUUAAUUAAGCGCCUCUAAGCAAUAUUUUCGUAACGAAGUGGAAUCGUAACUUAGUUGUUCUUUUCAUCGUUGGUACUUCGAACAAGCGAUACUUACUUUUAAAGCGUAUUAGACACGGAUUGUAAUGAGCCCCAGUUAGAGCCGCACAAGUCUUUACGUUCUCAGUUUGCUUCUGUGAUCUCGCAGAGACUUGUCGCUAUGAACCAAGCUGUUAAACAAGCCUUUAUAAUUUUUGAACUCGUCAAAGUUGCGUCAAAACGAGAUGGAGAUUUGGGCCAUCGAAUGUGCGCUCUUAAUAGGAGAUUGAGAUUCGGAUGCUCCACUCUUUGGGUGGCGACGACGAAAGAGGUUAGGGCACUCCGACUGUCCGGGCUCUCCCGCGACGUAAAAUAGUGCAAAAAUGGCACGUGGUGAGCGCUCAAAAUGAGCGCCUCUUAAAGUGUAGGUAAAUUUGCAUGAUACAUUUUUUGUUCACGUAAAUAUACGAAUAUAGAAGU